rnacentral:rRNA from 1 species
GCCACAUACUCGGCCCAGUCUUGCUACGCCGCCACAUUCCAGGGAUCUACGCGCUUCCAUUCAUGGAAGCUGAUUUGCAAGAGUUGGGCGCCACCCUGCGUCAAAUUCUUCGACUGGCUUGCUAACCAGGACCGAUGUCGGACGGCCUCGAGGCUGGCCAGCCGCAGCCUGCAGCACCACCCUAGGUGCCUGCUUUGCGACCAAAACCCGGAGACCAUCCAACACCUACUCCUGGCGUGUCCAUUUGCUAAGCAGACUUGGCACAUCAUCCUGGACUGGGCGCAUAUACCUGCCCAACCGCCAGCCAGUGAAACCACCUUGAUGUACUGGUGGUUGUGUACCAAGGCACAGACCCCUCCUACACUAGGCAAAGCUCUGCAAUCGAUCACACUGCUCGUCCCCUGGAUGAUCUAG